rnacentral:rRNA from 1 species
UACGUAGGUGGCAAGCGUUAUCCGGAAUUACUGGGCGUAAAGCGCACGCAGGCGGCGCAUCAAGUUCGACGUGAAAGCUCCCGGCUUAACUGGGAGAGGUCGUUGAAGACUGAUGUGCUUGAGGCAAUGAGAGGGGUGUAGAAUUCCCGGUGUAGUGGUGGAAUGCGUAGAUAUCGGGAGGAAUACCAGUGGCGAAAGCGGCACCCUAGCAGUAGCCUGACGCUCAUGUGCGAAAGCGUGGGGAGCGAACGGG